CGUGCGACGCGGCUUCGUUUGAGCGUGCGAGCGCGAGAAGUUGCGACCUAAAGGAACCGCCUAUUUGCAAGGUUGGCUUUGAAUUUUCGGGCCACUUAUAUGCGCACCGCUCACUUGGGU
rnacentral:ncRNA from 1 species